rnacentral:rRNA from 1 species
GAUGAACGCUGGCGGCGUGCCUAACACAUGCAAGUCGAACGGAGAUUACGGACGGAAGUUUUCGGAUGGAAGCCUGUAAUUCUUAGUGGCGGACGGGUGAGUAACGCGUGAGCAACCUGCCCUAUACAGGGGGAUAGCAGCUGGAAACGGCUGGUAAGACCGCAUAAGUCGGUUAAAUCGCAUGAUUUGAUCGGGAAAUGAGCAAUCAGGUAUAGGAUGGGCCCGCGUCCGAUUAGCCAGUUGGCAGGGUAAAAGCCUACCAAAGCGACGAUCGGUAGCCGGACUGAGAGGUCGGACGGCCACAUUGGGACUGAGACACGGCCCAAACUCCUACGGGAGGCAGCAGUGGGGGAUAUUGCACAAUGGAGGAAACUCUGAUGCAGCGACGCCGCGUGAGUGAAGAAGUAUUUCGGUAUGUAAAGCUCUAUCAGCAGGGAAGAUGAUGACGGUACCUGACGAAGAAGCCCCGGCUAACUACGUG